rnacentral:lncRNA from 1 species
AUGAUAUCAGCCUCACCAGGUCGCAUUUCCUCUGGGAUUGCUCCUGACUACGCUGUCUUCGUGCCAGUGCGGGCUGUUGCAUGGCUGACCUUCACGGGACCGCAGGGCAUCCGCAGCGAGGAGGAACCCGCUCCUUCCCCCCUGACUUCACUCAGCUGGAAAAGUACGAGGUGCCAUUUGUCUCACACAGUGUCCCAGGGCAAUGGACCCUGGCAUGCCCAGCGCCCGGCAUCUCCAUCAGAUGCAGCUUUGAUGGUGUACCAUCUUCAUGGUGAGGCCUUGUCCACAGCCACGGACUUUCAGGCGGGAUUUGCUGCUCAGCUGAUGACCUUUCUCUGAAAGCUUUGUUCCUGCCACGGAAAAGGUUGUGCAGAAGAAAUCUCUCAGUCCUGAUAGAGCCAGAGGUAAUUA